UACAAGUCAUAUGCUUCGGAUAUUACGUAGGUGGUUUAAUUUGCUACAUAGCUUAAAGACGUUGGAUAAGUAAUUCUGCUUUAUACACAUUUGUUCUGAUAAAAAGACUAUCAUAUAUUAGUGAAAAGCAGCAGUUUUAAAUGCUUAACACAAACCGAAGAUAUCAAACGGAAUUGUAAAUUGAUCAACUUUCUCUAACAAGUUGCCGUGGAUGUUUCUGUGAAUGUUGAAUGAAGUUAAUCAUUCUGUUAAUUUAGGGAGAAGGGUAGCCUAUACACAUUCUACGUGAUACAAGGACACCAGGGAAAAGUAUAAUGUCUUUGAAAUUUGGAUGUUGGAAGGUAUAUUUUCCACCAUGAAGAGGCUGACAAUGGACAGGAAAGAUGCCAAGGACUUGGACAUGGAUUGAGGUAUUUACAAUUAGAUAUCUGAUGUCGGAAUUGGCUCGUGUAGCUACAUUCCGAUACGUAUCGUCUAGAUUCUGGGUGUUGGACUUGGCCAGGUGGUACUUCGUAGACCACGAUGGAGUGACCUUCGAGUGCAUAUUAUGUGGCAGAAUGAACGAAUAUAGAGAGGGAAGAUUGUCUGAAGCGGAACUUCUGUCCCUUCAUCAUAUUCGUUGCCGAAUACGAAUAAUUCGGGUCCGAACACGCUGCUGAUACAUCAGUUGGUGGAUGGAAAUAAGAUCUAAACGCCGUUUUCUGCUUUAUUUUACCACAUGGGUUUGUCAAACCAAUCUGCUUCCAGGGGCUAAUGUACAAACAAAUAUCAUCUAAUAGUCAUGCAUGAAGUAGUUGAGGAGCCUGCAAUUUGUUGGGGUAUCUCUCUAACUGACUGAUCCAGUGUAACAAAUUAGAUAUAGCCACAACUGCCAUGACUUUUGGGGGCUGGAGAAAAGUGAUUGAAGACGUAAUGUGUCAUCUUCUUUUACAAUGAUAAUCAGUUGUCCAUUAUAUUACACAUAUUGUUUUCGAGGUAAAUUGUGACAUGAAUUUCAUUACAUACAAAGAAUACAUUUAUAGUUAUUGUAAUCUAUUCUAAAAUCAUGUUACAUAACUUAUCAAAUAAUGUAAUAGAAAUGUUCGAAAUAGGAACUUCAUUCUUACUUCUGACAAAAACCCCACAAAAGUAUUCCAAUCAAUUGCAGAAACAUUAUUUGAUAUGUUGAUAUGGUUUUAGAAUAUACAACACUUAAUUGAGUCCAAUAAAAUAAAUACUGUGGUUCUGUUCAUUUCAUUUCAACAUAUUGUAUUCCUGAUGGUAAACCAAUAGGAUUGAACAAAAGGCUAUGCCUAUAUCAGUGUCUCCUGCAUGCAGUCUUAUGCUACAGUAUUGUAAUUUAUAAUGAAAUGAAAAAUAGAAAAACAAAAACUUAUAUACAAACAGAUAUCAAUGUGCAAGUCAAUGGUAUAGGGGAGAUAAAUCAAAUUGAUUUUAAUAAUUACAGGUCAGCUGGCUAGGGAUGUUUACUUCACAAGGGAAAUGGAUAAUGUUCAUCAUCUUUCACUAAGUCUUUCUUCCCUUGGAAUUCAAAAUCCACACAAAUGACAUGCAGUCAAAACAUCACUUAACAAUUAUACAUCAGCUAGUUUAAGUGUUUAAUGAUAUUAACAUCCAGUUUUAGAUCACUCAACAUUUUCU